AAAAUAUAUAAUAAUAAUAAUAAUUAAAGCUGCAAGCAGCGAUGGACGGGUCCUCGCAUCCACGCUGGUCGGCGAAUCCAUGCACGUCCACCAGGUGGCACUGUGACUGAGAGUGUGUGCUGGCCUCUGAAUCACAUCUGGACCAGAGUUUAAUGACACGUAAAAUUUCAGCCAGAUUGGAGCAUGUUCAGACUAGUUAUACAGCAUUUCCUGCCCAUCCACCACCAGGUGGCGCUGUAACUCAGAGUGUAUUUCACACAGUGGAUGUGAUGAGGGUUGGACUCUGAUCACUCAUGAAAAGUUUCAGGCUGAUUUGAUCAUGUAGAGGCCAGUUAUACAGCAUUUACUGUCCCUCCAUCAGGUGGCGCUGCGACUGAGAGUGUCUGUUGGCCUGUAGAUGUGAUCAGGAUUGGAUUGUGAUCACACAUGGAAAGUUUGAGGCAGAUUGGAGCAUGCAGAGGAGAGUUAUACAGCAGUUGAUGUUUCAUGGCGAAGCAUCAAAACGCUGAUGGUCGCCAUGGCCACGCCAUUUGGCUUCUGGUUAAACUUUUGAUAACUUUUCCAAACCAAGUCCUGCUGUGUGGACUGACAAAAUUUCAGGUCUCCUGGAAUUAUCCCCUAGGAGGUAUUAACUCUCAAAAAUGAGAAAAAUCAUCAAAAAUCUCACAAUUAAUCCAAGAUGGCCGACUUCCUGUUGGGUUUAGGACAUGGCUCCAAGAGGCUUUUUUGUGCGUCCUGAUGUGCUCUAUAAGCCUCCCAAAUUUCAUGGAUGUAGGUGAAACGUGCUGGGGGGGCUGUUUGUUAAAAAUACUGUAGGGGGCGCUAUAGCAUGUGCAGUGCCGAGAUGCAUACAGUGUUGUUCCUUGGGUCAAUGGUGAUGUGUGUGGUAAUUUUUGUGAGCAUUGGAGUAUUCCUAACCUGUCAGAAAGGGCUUUGUUUUUCAUGGCGAUAUUUGGUUGCUACGGCAACAGCGUUACAUGAAAUGUCACACCCUUCACAGUGUGUGAUUGUCAAGAGGUGAAGACUCGACUGACCAAUUUCCAGCAUGAUAUCACCAAGUUUGGGGCCAUUGUACCUGAAAAUAUAAGGCCUUAAACUUACUAUUACCAACAGGUGGCGCUAUGACUUUUUCAGAAUUUAUGAGUGUGGAUGUGUUCAGACUGGACCUGGUGUCCAUCAUGUGAAGUUUGGGGCAGAUAGGAUCUUGUUCAGCUGAGAUAUGAAUCGUUAAAUUUUCAUGGCGAAACAUCGAAAUUGGUUUGGCCGCCACAGACACGCCCUUUGAUGACAAGUCACCAUUUUCACUGGGAUGCAUCAUCAAUGUGUUUAGGCUGUUGUCACUGCAUUUGAAGUGAAUAUGAUCAACCGGGUAACAAUAGGGCAUGAAAGUGUAAAAGAUGUCUAUUUCCUGAAACCACAAGGUGGCGCUAUGACU